rnacentral:rRNA from 1 species
UACGUAGGUGACAAGCGUUGUCCGGAUUUACUGGGCGUAAAGAGCUCGUAGGUGGUUUGUCGCGUUGUUCGUGAAAACUCACAGCUCAACUGUGGGCGUGCGGGCGAUACGGGCAGACUGGAGUACUGCAGGGGAGACUGGAAUUCCUGGUGUAGCGGUGGAAUGCGCAGAUAUCAGGAGGAACACCGGUGGCGAAGGCGGGUCUCUGGGCAGUAACUGACGCUGAGGAGCGAAAGCGUGGGGAGCGAACAGG